rnacentral:rRNA from 1 species
GACGAACGCUGGCGGCGUGCUUAACACAUGCAAGUCGAACGGAAAGACCCUGCUUUUGUGGGGUUCUCGAGUGGCGAACGGGUGAGUAACACGUGAGUAACCUGCCCUUGACUUUGGGAUAACUUCAGGAAACUGGGCCUAAUACCGGAUAGGAGCUCCUGCUGCAUGGUGGGGGUUGGAAAGUUUCGGCGGUUGGGGAUGGACUCGCGGCUUAUCAGCUUGUUGGUGGGGUAGUGGCUUACCAAGGCUUUGACGGGUAGCCGGCCUGAGAGGGUGACCGGCCACAUUGGGACUGAGAUACGGCCCAGAGUCCUACGGGAGGCAGCAGGGGGGAAUAUUGCACAAUGGGCGGAAGCCUGAUGCAGCAACGCCGCGUGCGGGAUGACGGCCUUCGGGUUGUAAACCGCUUUCGCCUGUGACGAAGCGUGAGUGACGGUAAUGGGUAAAGAAGCACCGGCUAACUACGUG